rnacentral:rRNA from 1 species
AUUGAACGCUGGCGGCAGGCCUAACACAUGCAAGUCGAACGAGGGGCGGACGGGUGAGCAAUGUCUGGGAAACUGCCUGACGGAGGGGGAUAACUACUGGAAACGGUAUCUAAUACCGCAUACCAUCGGAUGUGCCCUGAUGGGAUUAGCUAGUAGGUGGGGUAAAGGCUCACCUAGGCGACGAUCCCUCGCUGGUCUGAGCGGAUGACCAGCCACACUGGAACUGAGACACGGUCCAGACUCCUACGGGAGGCAGCAGUGGGGAAUAUUGCACAAUGGGCGCAAGCCUGAUGCAGCCAUGCCGCUUGUAUGAAGAAGGCCUUCGGGUUGUAAAGUACUUUCAGCGGGGAGGCGGGACCCGCAGAAGAAGCACCGGCUAACUCCGUGCCAGCAGCCGCGGUAAUAC